rnacentral:rRNA from 1 species
AGUGGAAGCGUCUGGAAAGGCGCGCGAUACAGGGUGACAGCCCCGUACACAAAAAUGCACAUAUUGUGAGCUCGAUGAGUAGGGCGGGACACGUGGUAUCCUGUCUGAAUAUGGGGGGACCAUCCUCCAAGGCUAAAUACUCCUGACUGACCGAUAGUGAACCAGUACCGUGAGGGAAAGGCGAAAAGAACCCCGGCGAGGGGAGUGAAAAAGAACCUGAAACCGUGUACGUACAAGCAGUGGGAGCCUCUUUAUGGGGUGACUGCGUACCUUUUGUAUAAUGGGUCAGCGACUUAUAUUCUGUAGCAAGGUUAACCGAAUAGGGGAGCCGAAGGGAAACCGAGUCUUAACUGGGCGUUAAGUUGCAGGGUAUAGACCCGAAACCCGGUGAUCUAGCCAUGGGCAGGUUGAAGGUUGGGUAACACUAACUGGAGGACCGAACCGACUAAUGUUGAAAAAUUAGCGGAUGACUUGUGGCUGGGGGUGAAAGGCCAAUCAAACCGGGAGAUAGCUGGUUCUCCCCGAAAGCUAUUUAGGUAGCGCCUCGUGAAUUCAUCUCCGGGGGUAGAGCACUGUUUCGGCAAGGGGGUCAUCCCGACUUACCAACCCGAUGCAAACUGCGAAUACCGGAGAAUGUUAUCACGGGAGACACACGGCGGGUGCUAACGUCCGUCGUGAAGAGGGAAACAACCCAGACCGCCAGCUAAGGUCCCAAAGUCAUGGUUAAGUGGGAAACGAUGUGGGAAGGCCCAGACAGCCAGGAUGUUGGCUUAGAAGCAGCCAUCAUUUAAAGAAAGCGUAAUAGCUCACUGGUCGAGUCGGCCUGCGCGGAAGAUGUAACGGGGCUAAACCAUG